CUACUGCGGGCGCUUUUCGACGGUAUGUAGGUGCUGCGCACUCGCUGACACACGGAGUUGCGUGAUGAUGAUUUGCGUUCGAUGAAUCUAAGCAAGUCGUUCCUGAGUGCUCAGGUGUUACCAGAGGCAAGCGAAAGAGACCUCAGUGUUGUCGGCUUCGCUUCUGCGUGCCAUAAACGCCGGAGGUUUAUUUUCUUGAAUUUGUGGAAGCUACAGCACGCUGUCAAUUGGCUGAUGCGUUCAGGUCGACGAAUCUAACGAGGUUCCAAUCGCAUAUUAAAGUGUUGCCAGAGGGAAAGUCGAAUGGAUCUAGAUCCCGUUGUGUACGCUACUGUGCAGCAUAACAACCAGAGAUUUAUUUUCUUGAUGAAUAGAAGAAGGAGAGAUGCAGCGGCGUGCUGCGUUUCGAGCGCAUUCCAAACGCUCGCUGCGAGGUAAGCUGCACCUCUACAGCGGUUGCCGCACAGGGACGGAAUGGCUCUGUGUGUACCUUGACGGGUUUCGGCUCGCAACGUGGGUCACCGGUCGACGAGUCGUUACUCGCCAUCGUUCAGUCAUUCGGGAGGCGUCAAGAGAGACCUGCUGGUGAAUGCGGCGCAAAACAACACGCUGCCUGACCACAGCGAACAGGGCGACGCCUAGACGCAGGCCGCCGCGUCCUAGCCCCAGAAAAAGCUGCGUUAAGGAUGAUUUGCGCAGGUCUCACUACAGCGCACCAGACCAGCGGGGUCGUCUGCCUCGCGGGGCUAACCGCCCAGAAGGUAAACGCUGGAAUACACGGAAAACUAUUCCAUUUUCAUAUCUCGCCUUUGAGGGAAAAGAAACAGAUAAUUAGCUGCUAGUUCGUACUUUGCUUCUGCCUCUCUCGUAUCCCGACAUGAUGCGUUCCGCGCUGGCGCGUCUCCCGCACAGCACGCCUGGGAACGCGUGCCGAGCGUCGCCGCAGCGGCGCUAGGCGUUCGUUGCUGCUCAUGAUGACGCCGUCACGAGACGGUAAACCGGAAGAAGCGCACCGUUCGGCUGAAAGCGCGAGUUCUGGGGAAGGGUUUCGUUCCUGGAGAGCCCUUACCCGAAGGAACUGGACAACUUUCGGUGGUAUUUUGGCGCUAACCGCAUCUGUCUACGUGUAUACCCUAUAUCGAAUGCGUUCCACGGCGCCUGGGGAUCUUCGCAAAACGCUGCCGUUGCCGCCUUCCGAUGAAAAAACGGACAAGUAGCAACAUGCUAUCGUUCAUCUCUUUGAAGAUCGUUUAUUGUGACAGAACGAAGUCUCACGCACUGCACUGAUGGUGGACGGCGCUCGCCACGCAGUGCAACGGCGAACGACACGGACACGCCGUUCAAGAGUCGAGUUCCACACUGGCCCGACACUCGGUCAGGUUUUCGUGCAGCGUUCACGCGAACUUUGAAAAGCGAUAUCCGAUAACGUUGGUAGCGCUCUGAAGUCGCGUGUAUUUUGAAGAUCGGCGCGUUUGUACCUCGGUGCGCCAAAACGUCGCAGAAAAGCAUGCGCUUCUUCGACGCCGCUGGCGCCUCAGCUGUGCACAACUCUGUCCACGCGUAAGGACGCGAAUGAGCGGGCAUAAAGAGUGCAGUACAAGCGAUCGGGCCGUACUGUCGUAAUACAUUUGGCCUUGGUUUCGCAUGCGUUUCGGGUACGAGAACGUGCCGGUGGUCAGCAACCACUGGAUGAUGUAGCGUACGCGAUCAUUGCUCUUUUCCAGGAUGAUCGUGAAGCUUUACGAAUAUUGCUGGUAAGGAUUCGACGCGUGCGCGUUGUUGCGACCAUAUCCCGGGUACUGGUAUGUUGCGUGUGUCGCUCAGGGACGGGUUCAGGUGCAUGGAAACUUUGCGCAUGGUGGAAUGUCUUCGCGGAUGGGUUGCUUCUAGAGCCAGCAGUGCGAUGCGUCCAGUCCGUCCCGAACCAUACCCCCGUCAUCCUUGGUAAAGAAACGUUCCAUUUGGGGCGAU